rnacentral:lncRNA from 1 species
UUGGCUUCCGUGCUUCUGUGUCCCUGUGCCUUCCUCAUGGCUGUGACCCUCGAAUACUGAGCUCCUUAGGACAGAAAUGCUAGCUCUUACUUUCUUCACAUAGAUAGCUCCUUUGAACCCUUUAGGACUCAACAGAGAUUUUUUUCCUCAGUGGGCACUCUUAACAUCUGACUUUCUUUUUUUUUUUUUUUUUUUUUUUUGCAUGUUUUAUAAGCAUUUAUCUGCUGACUUAUUUUUCUUCUUGUAGUGUGACUAAGUUUUCAUUUCUGGAAGGCCAGGACCAGCUCUUGAGUGCUGCUGUAACGCUUACACUGCUCAAGUAUUUGCUGGAUGAAAGAACUUGAAUGGCUUAUGUGCAUCGUCUUAUUCAUUACUGUAACUCUACUCCUAGUUUACAGGGGAGGUGAGGAGCCCAGGCAGCUGGCUGUAGUUAGCAGAGGUGAGACUGGAGUGCAGGCCCAACAGUGCCAGAACACUGGCUCUUUUUAUCGAUUACUUUGUUUUGUUUAUGUGAUUAUUUAUUGUUUGUUUUGAGACAGUGUCUUAGUAUGUAAUCUCAGUUGGCCUCAAACUUAUUUAAUACAGGUUGGCUUUGAACUUUUAAUCCUUAGUUUUCAUCUUCUGCAAUGUUUCAGUUAUAGGUAUAUGUUGCUUAUGUUCAACUGUGCUCUAAGACACCACUCUGGCUCCCUUUUUUUUUGUCUGUUUCCAGGAAAUAGUACCCUGGAAACGUAACUAGCCACUAAGUGGGAAGAAGGGUAGGCUCAUGAUAAAGGGCCUGACUCUUAACCUUGAGCAGAUAGAUGUGUAGUUCCAGGCUUUAGUACAUCUUCAUCUGUAGAUGUCUGUCCUCGGAGUCCUGCGGUCAUUGGUGAGGGUCUUUUGUGACAGUAUACACCAAAGCAAAAGGCAAAGGGAAUCCAAGUGGAACACUGAUGGCCUUGUGGGGACAAGGCUAUUGUUCCUGCCUUCUCUGUCUCCUUAGAACUCAUAGACAGAGCUCCACACGAGAAUAAGAACAUAGGCCCCAGCUGGAGGCCCUGCUGUCUGGAGUCUCUGCCUUGUAUCCUGUUCUCCUAUCAUUGCCAGGGGAGAAAUCCUUUGAGAAGCAUGUGCAGCCCUUUCCUUCCACCGGACAGGUGCUGGGCUUGUCCUGAGGUGAUUCUGUCUGUGGCUUUUGGUUUUCUGAUGCUAAAGGCCUGGCUGGCCAUUCUUUUUUGUAGUAGUCCUGUUAACCUUGGAGACGGGGUUUCCAAAUGUGGAGAGGAAACAUGAAGUAUCCAAUCCACCUGUGAGGUGAGCUUGCUGUGUUCUACUGUAAAAUGGGGUGUGGCUGGCUACUGGGGUGCGGCUGGCUACAGGGGUGGUGUUUGUUUGGUCUGGCUUCUUAGUCAUGUUUGUGUAUACAUAUGUAUAUUCAAAAAAAUCCAAAUUUGUUUUGUAUUUUAACCAACUCACCGACUAGGGCUAAGAUGGAGUGACUUAAAAAAGGGUCUGAAUAUGCUAGCAGCAUGUCUCCUGGGUUCUAGUUUGCUGUCACACUAGGAUUUCCAAACUUUUUUCUAGUCUUAAAUAGUGAGGAACAGUUGUCAAAUCUAUUUGAGUGGCUCAGGAAGUCUUUGUGUCUCACUGUAGGUAUGCUAGAGGUAAUGGGCCUUUUUGAGUCUUCUGAAAAAGGAAAAGCAUUCUGUGGUCUCUAAAAAGCGAGAUCCAUUCCCUGCCCAGCUCUGCAAAAAAGUUCCAGCCUUAAUGAAGACUUGAUUUUUAAUGUAGAAUUUUUAGUUUUCUAUUACCACAAGGGGCUUAUUUUCCAUGCCUCCUUCAGGCAAAGAUAAUUUCCUAAGGGUCGUAGUUAACUAUUCCCCAUGAGAUCUGAAAGGCAUUGCAAGCAACAGUGGUUAAAUUGUUAACAUGGUUGUUUUAUGGAUGUGUAUAUUUUAAUAUUAAACAAAGACUCCUCUCCAACUAUGUCACAAGGAAUGCUGUAAGCCAGGCCACCCUUAACCAAAGAAAGAGCACUCCUCCAUUCUUGAAGGACCAUGCCACAUAUUUUACAACUGUGAUGAUAUUCCACCCAGGCUCAAUGGGCACUGAACUCAGAAUACCCAGUUAUAGCCAGCAGCGUGGCUCAGCAGAGAAGGGCACUGGCCCCCUAGCUUGAUGAGUUGAGUUCAGUCCCCAGGACCCACUUGGUGGGAGGAGAGAACCAACUCCCCCAAUUCUCCUCUGGCCUCCACACGCCCAUAGACAGGGCGCACACACACAC